CUCUCACACAAAAUGUUGAAAGCUGUUAACCGAAACACAUACGAAAGAAAAUGCUCUCCACUGUCAUACCUUUGAAUCCUGGCUGAGGAAGAGCAAGACCUGGAGUCAUCUCAACUAAUGAUACUCUGUGACUGACUCAUCAAAAAGAGAAACCAAAACUGCUCAUAGAAACAUCCCAG